CCUACGGGUGGCAGCAGUGGGGGAUAUUGCACAAUGGGGGAAACCCUGAUGCAGCGACGCCGCGUGAGUGAAGAAGUAUUUCGGUAUGUAAAGCUCUAUCAGCAGGGAAGAAAAUAGACGGAACUUGAUUAAGAAGCCCCGCCUAACUACGGGCCACAAGCCGCGGGAUAACUGAGGGGGCAAGCGUUAUCCGGAUUUACUGGGUGUAAAGGGAGCGUAGACGGCAAUACAAGUCGGAAGUGAAAGACCCGGGCUCAACCUGGGAACUGCGUUGGAAACUGUAUGGCUGGAGUGCGGGAGAGGUAAGCGGAAUUCCUAGUGUAGCGGUGAAAUGCGUAGAUAUUAGGAGGAACACCAGUGGCGAAGGCGGCUUACUGGACAGUAACUGACGUUGAGGCUCGAAAGCGUGGGGAGCAAACAGGAUUAGAUACCCUGGUAGUC
rnacentral:rRNA from 1 species